UUUCUGAACACACUCUACCACCAACAAGGACAGCUCACCAGUGGGAACUGAUAGAUAAGACUGCUGAUGUGCUCUCAUCCAUUGAAGAGCUGACCAGAAACGUGAACAGAAAGACUGCACCUGAUGGGAUCCCUGCCAUAACAGAUGUGUUCUGUCCAGUGAAGGCAGUGGAGAAGCCCUACACUGAUCUUGAAACUGUGCCACGCUAGUAGAGACCGGCUACAAGGAUGGGCAGCUGUUUUCGCAAAGUCAG